rnacentral:rRNA from 1 species
CUACGGGCGGCAGCAGUGGGGAAUAUUGGACAAUGGGGGAAACCCUGAUCCAGCAAUGCCGCGUGUGUGAAGAAGGCCUGCGGGUUGUAAAGCACUUUCGGUUGGGAGGACUGCUUCUAGCACUAAUAUUGUUGGAAGUUGACGUUACCUUCAGAAGAAGCACCGGCUAACUCCGUGCCAGCAGCCGCGGUAAUACGGGGGGUGCAAGCGUUAAUCGGAAUUACUGGGCGUAAAGCGCGCGUAGGCGGCUAGAUCAGUCGGGUGUGAAAGCCCCGGGCUUAACCUGGGAACUGCAUCCGGUACUGGCUAGCUUGAGUACAGGAGAGGAGAGUGGAAUUCCACAUGUAGCGGUGAAAUGCGUAGAUAUGUGGAGGAACACCAAUGGCGAAGGCAGCUCUCUGGCCUGAUACUGACGCUGAGGUGCGAAAGCGUGGGGAGCAAACAGGAUUAGAUACCCCCGUAGUC